GGCGCCUUGGCCGAGCGGUUAGGCACGGGACUGCAAAUCCCUGUAGGGCGGUUCGACUCCGCCAGGCGCCUCCA
rnacentral:tRNA from 2 species